rnacentral:rRNA from 1 species
UCAAAAACAUGUCUUUUUGAUAAUAAUUUAAAGUCUAAUCUGCCCACUGAUAUAAUUAUUAAAGGGCUGCAGUAUAUUGACUGUACAAAGGUAGCAUAAUCAUUAGUCUUUUAAUUGAAGACUUGUAUGAAAGAUUUGAUGAAAUAUAAACUGUCUCUAAGUUAAGAAUAAAAUUUAAUUUUUUAGUUAAAAAGCUAAAAUUUUAUUAAAAGACGAGAAGACCCUAUAAAGUUUUAUAAUUUAUUUAUUUAAUAUAAAAUAUAUAAUUAAAUAUAAUAAUUAAAUAAAUUAUUUUAUUGGGGUGAUAGAAAAAUUUAAUAAACUUUUUUUUUUUAUAUAAACAUAAAUAAGUGAUAAAAUGAUCCAUUAUUAAUGAUUAAAAGAAAAAAUUACUUUAGGGAUAACAGCGUAAUAUUUUUUUUUAGUACGAAUAAAAAAAAAAGUUUGCGACCUCGAUGUUGGAUUAAGAUAAAAUUUAAAUGCAAAAGUUUAAAAUUUUGAUCUGUUCGAUCAUUAAAAUCUUACAUGAUCUGAGCU